rnacentral:rRNA from 1 species
GAUGAACGCUGGCGGCGUGCCUAAUACAUGCAAGUAGAACGCUGAAGGAGGAGCUUGCUCUUUCCGGAUGAGUUGCGAACGGGUGAGUAACGCGUAGGUAACCUGCCUGGUAGCGGGGGAUAACUAUUGGAAACGAUAGCUAAUACCGCAUAACAGUAGAUAUUGCAUGAUAUUUGCUUGAAAGGGGCAAUUGCUCCACUACCAGAUGGACCUGCGUUGUAUUAGCUAGUUGGUGAGGUAACGGCUCACCAAGGCGACGAUACAUAGCCGACCUGAGAGGGUGGUCAGCCACACUGGGACGGAGACACGGCCCAGUCGCCUACGGGAGGGAGCAGGAGGGAAUCUUCGGCAAGGGACGGAAGUCUGAACGAGCAACGCCGCGGGAGUGAGGAAGGUUGUCGGGUCGUAAAGCUCGGUUGUAAGGGAAGAACGAGUGUGAGAGUGGAAAGUUCACACUGUGACGGUAUCUUACCAGAAAGCGACGGCUAACUACGUG